UGGAGAUCAGAGGGUGGAGCUAGCCACCAGUUAACUGUAACCAUAGAGGUCUGGAGGUCUGUACAGAGAGGCGACAGGAAGUGACUACAUGAGGUGGAGACAGGAAGUGAUAAGGCAGGGUGUAGACAAGACCUUGGCCCCUUUUGGUCAGAGGAUUGGGAGAGGAUGGGCCCAGGAACCCUCAAUGACUCAGGGACCAGCGAGUUCCUC
rnacentral:lncRNA from 1 species